UUAGCAGUGAGGAAUAUUGGUCAAUAGCCUAACGGCUGAACCAGCAACUUGGAGGAAUGUAUAGCGAAAGCUGGUUGUAUUAAAUAUUAAUUAAUGCAGCAUUAUCCCUGUCGAAUAAUAAACUAGAUAGAAUUAUGAUAAUGACAUUGUCUAUCUAUAUGUCUUGACAAAGUCACGUGCCAGCAGUCGCGGUAAUACGUGGUAGACGAGUGUUAUUCAUCUUUAAUAGGUUUAAAGGGUACUUAGACGGGAAAUCAAGCCCAAAAAGGGGUACUAAUUUUCUAGAGUUUUAUGCGAGGGGGGGUGUAUUGAAGAGUGGAGAGAUGAAAUUUUGUGAUACCUUUCUGGAACAGUCAACGGCGAAAGCGACCCUUUAUGUAAAAACUGACGUGAAAGACGAAGGCUUGGUAUACCAACAGGAUUAGAUACCCUAGCAGUCCUUGCAGAAAAUGAUGAAUGUCAUAGAUUAGAUAAGAAUAUUANAUNAUAUGGGUAGGCUCUCAACCUUAAUAUUCCUGGUUUUUUUUUUACAGCCAGAUUAAAGAUUUAGUCUAUAAAUGAAAGUGUAAGCAUUCCACCUCGAGAGUAAUGUGGCAACGCAGAAAUUGAAAUCAUUAGACCGUUUCUGAAACCAGUAGUGAAGUAUGUUGUUUAAUUAGAUGAUACACAAAAAACCUUACCACAAUUUGAAUAUUUAUACAAGAGUUGCACGGCUGUCUUCAGUUAAUGUCGUGAGAUUUUGGUUAAUUCCAUAAAAUUAACGUAAACCCUUACUUUAUUUAUUUUUAUAAAGUAGUUCACCGCUAUAUUGGAUAUGAUAAUAGGGAAUAAGACAAGUCAUCCAUGGCCUAA
rnacentral:rRNA from 1 species